rnacentral:lncRNA from 1 species
CCGUCAAAGCCCAAUUCGCUGUUUCAUUUUUGGAAGUUCUUGAUUCAUCCUUGGGUGCCUUCCUUUUCUUUGGCCUCUUCCUCCGUUCAAGUUCAUUGUUUAUUUUAGAUUUUUGUUUAAUGAACUUAUUAAGAGUUAGUGUUCGAAGUUCAAGUUCAUCAUUGUCCUCAUCACUUGAGUCAUCGCUCAAGUGGUAUUCAUUUGUCC